GCGUGUCUGGUGUAGCAGUAACACAUGUUGUGCAAGUUAUUGGCUAUAUAAUGAUUUGCGUCACACAAGAGGAGGGUUCAAAUCCCUCAGCGCGCA